rnacentral:rRNA from 1 species
AGAGUUUGAUCCUGGCUCAGAACGAACGCUGGCGGCGCGCUUAACACAUGCAAGUCGAACGAGAAGGCGUAGCAAUACGCUUGUACAGUGGCGAACGGGUGAGUAAUACGUGGGCGACCUACCCUCGAGUGGGGAAUAACCCGCCGAAAGGCGGGCUAAUGCCGCGUACGCUUCCAUCUUUAUGGAGGUGGAAGGAAAGCCGUGCCGUGGGCACGGCGCUCAAGGAUGGGCUCACGUCCUAUCAGCUUGUUGGUAGGGUAACGGCCUACCAAGGCUCCGACGGGUAGCUGGUCUGAGAGGACGAUCAGCCACACUGGCACUGCGACACGGGCCAGACUCCUACGGGAGGCAGCAGUGAGGAAUAUUGCGCAAUGGGCGAAAGCCUGACGCAGCGACGCCGCGUGGGGGAUGAAGGUCUUCGGAUUGUAAACCCCUUUCGGGAGGGAAGAUGGGACGGGCAACCGUUCGGACGGUACCUCCAGAAGCAGCCACGGCUAACUUCGUGCCAGCAGCCGCGGUAAUACGAAGGUGGCAAGCGUUGUUCGGAUUUACUGGGCGUACAGGGAGCGUAGGCGGUUAGGUAAGCCCUUCGGGAAAUCUCCCGGCUUAACCGGGAAAGGUCGGAGGGGACUGCCUGGCUAGAGGACGGGAGAGGAGCGCGGAAUUCCCGGUGUAGCGGUGAAAUGCGUAGAGAUCGGGAGGAAGGCCGGUGGCGAAGGCGGCGCUCUGGAACGUUCCUGACGCUGAGGCUCGAAAGCGUG